rnacentral:rRNA from 1 species
ACCCGCUGAACUUAAGCAUAUCAAUAAGCGGAGGAAAAGAAACUAACAAGGAUUCCCCUAGUAACUGCGAGUGAAGCGGGAAAAGCUCAAAUUUAAAAUCUGGUAGUCUUUGGCUGCCCGAGUUGUAAUCUAGAGAAGUGUUAUCCGCGCUGGACCGUGUACAAGUCUCCUGGAAUGGAGCGUCAUAGAGGGUGAGAAUCCCGUCUUUGACACGGACUACCAGGGCUUUGUGAUGCGCUCUCGAAGAGUCGAGUUGUUUGGGAAUGCAGCUCUAAAUGGGUGGUAAAUUCCAUCUAAAGCUAAAUAUUGGCGAGAGACCGAUAGCGAACAAGUACCGUGAGGGAAAGAUGAAAAGAACUUUGGAAAGAGAGUUAAACAGUACGUGAAAUUGUUGAAAGGGAAACGCUUGAAGUCAGUCGCGUUGGCUUGGAAUCAGCCUUGCUUUUGCUUGGUGUACUUCCUUGUUGACGGGUCAGCAUCAAUUUCGACCGAUGGAGAAAGGCCAGUUGAAUGUGGCAUCUUCGGAUGUGUUAUAGCUUCUGGUCAUAUACAUUGGUUGGGAUUGAGGAACUCAGCACGCCGAAAGGUCGGGGUUCGCCCACGUUCGUGCUUAGGAUGCUGGCAUAAUGGCUUUAAUCGACCCGUCUUGAAACACGG